GAUGAACGCUGGCGGCGCGCCUAACACAUGCAAGUCGAACGGUUAAAGCACCUCCGGGUGUGCAUAAAGUGGCGAACGGCUGAGUAACACGUGGGCAACCUGCCCCUCGCCCCGGGACAGCCUCGGGAAACCGUGGUUAAUACCGGAGACUCCGCAGCCCCCGCCUCGGGGAGGCGGGAACGCCCAGACGGCGAGGGAGGGGCCCGCGGCCUGUUAGCUAGUUGGUGGGGCAACGGCCCACCAAGGCGAUUAUGGGUAGCUGGGUUGAGAGACCGACCAGCCAGAUUGGGACUGAGACACGGCCCAGACUCCUACGGGAGGCAGCAGUGGGGAAUCUUGCGCAAUGGGCGAAAGCCUGACGCAGCGACGCCGCGUGCGGGAUGAAGGCCUUCGGGUCGUAAACCGCUUUCAGCAGGGACGAGGCCGCAAGGUGACGGUACCUGCAGAAGAAGCCCCGGCUAACUACGUGCCAGCCGCCGCAGUAA
rnacentral:rRNA from 1 species